rnacentral:tRNA from 1 species
GAUAGAAUGGCUGAAAUUAGGCGAUAAAUUGUAAAUUUAUUUAUGAAAUUUAAAAUUUCUUCUAUCA